rnacentral:lncRNA from 1 species
AAGUUAAUUUAAAUUAUACGCCUAAAGCAACUACACACUUUCAAAUUUUCGAGGACUAUGGAAAAUUCAACUAAAUGGCAUGCCUCGAUUUCUAAGGAUUAAAAAUUUAUAAAUGAGGACCAUGCAUUUUGAGAUUUUAUUUGGCACGGCACACCUGAAAUAAAUAAAGGAUCUAACUAAUUGAAAUAAAGACUAAGGGAAUUCCCAAUUUAUUUUUAAGCCAAAGUGUGAACUAAACUUAGUGAUCAUUAAACUAAACAAAAACGAAAGCAGACAAUGUUUAAUUUUUGUAGGAGCCCAGACAGGUUGUGAGCCCAAUGACAGACUACCAAAUACAGGAACGAGCCUGGAGACACUGUUGGGCUUACACGUGAAGCCCAUUUCAAGAGUUUGGUAUUUAAGGAGAAAUUCGGCAUAAAUGGGCUAGACCAAUUUGGAAAAGACCAUAUGACUCAAAGCUUUCUAUACCAAAUUAAAUCAAACUUGUUGAAUCCACAACAUGAGUGGUCCAAACUCAUAAACAUUCCCCACCCAUAGCUAUGAAAAACAUAUCCAAAACUAGCCAACCUCGUCAGUAGCUAAAUAGUCACAGUCCUCAAUUAUACAUGUUAUGCUAGAGAGAAAAAUCUUGAAUCAACUACAGUUAAACAAUGUCUUAACUCCAAACCUUAGAACAAACAUGUAAUACUAAUGACUACACCUAAGAAGCUAGACAAAAAGGAACACAAAACAAAAUAUAGUAAAUUCAAAUGGCUGAUAAAAUAACAGAGAAUUAGCAUUUGUCAACUUCUUCCACUCGAAUUAAAUGACUUAACACAACAGCUUAAUCAAGCUUCAUUUCCAUUCAUGGUUUGAAGAAAGUACCUGGUUAUAGCAGCAAAACAGUAGGAAAUGAACUCAGAAUGAAGUAGAUGAGAACAACAGAGUAUCAGCAAUGGAACAGCAGCACAACUAGUAGAUUAAACCAAAGUUUUAAACCAAUUUGAACCCUUUCAAACCCAGAUACAUGACCUUGGAAGCUUUUGGAAAUUAUAAACUCUUUAGGGGGAUCUAAAGAACCAAAAACCAAGCCUAAAUCAAGUAAUUUUUCAGUAUUUUUAAACUUAGAAGACGACUCAACCGUUUUCAAUUCUUUUGUAUUUUUAAUUCCUCAAAAUCUGACUUGUGAAUGAAGAAAGAAUGUCUUUAUAGGCAAGCCUUACCGCAGCAAAAGUGAAUUUAUUUUUGCACUUUAAACCUUAUUGAAUAUUUAUUUUUGGUCAAGUACUUUUAGUUUAAAAUCAGCAUUUUCAGUAUAAGUCCUAAAGGCACCUUCCUAGCAACUUACUAAAUUAGUUAUAAAGAUAUUCCCUAACCUAAAUUCCUAAAUUAACCCCUACGAACCCUGCUUUUACCCUGAAACCAAUAGGUUAUGGGUCAAAUUGACCCAAUGAUUCAAUACUGUCAUGAGUCUAACAAGACCUGGCUAAUCACUUUUCUUUGGGCCCAAUUCCAAUUCAAAACCUCAAUAGAAGAUUGGAGAAGGCAGAAAAUAAAGGGCAAUUCGGAGUUAGUUAGACGCCCUGAACCAAAGGUUCUUAAUGGCCCAAAACUAAAGGGAAAAUCAAACAAAACUAAACUAUCGAAUCAAACAAAACUAAUGAAAAUAUAAAUUAACAUACAAUCGAAAUUAAAAGAAGCGCAUGCAAAGAUGAUUUUGAGAAAAAAGAAGAAAAAGAAGAAAAUAGAAGAAGAUAGGGAAAAAUGAAAAAGAGGAAAAACUAAAAAUACCUAUCAAAACCAGGCGAACAAACAGUCUUGAUCUAAUAUUCAAGGAAUCUUCGAUUUUUGACCAAAUAGACCUUAAUCGUGUGUUCUCAAAUAAAAACACGCAAAUAAAGUCGAUUUCAACCUCAAAUCUUCAAUAAACUCGCCGAUUUGAUUUUUAAGGGGGAUUUAGGGUUCGUCUCUUCAAAUAAAGAUCCAACGGAAUCUAGGGUCGAAGGAAACCGAGUAGAGAUAGGGAAAAGGAGGUAAUAGGGAGUUUGUGGUGUUAAUUUGGGCUGGUUCGAGGGUGGAGCCGCCACCGGAGGAAGCUAGAGCGGUGCUAGGGUUGAUGGUUGUCUCUGAUGGUGGAGGAGAUGAAUUGAGAGAAGAGUUAGA